GAUGAACGCUAGCUACAGGCUUAACACAUGCAAGUCGCGGGGCAGCAUGGGGGUUGCUUGCAACCCCUGAUGGCGACCGGCGCACGGGUGAGUAACGCGUAUCCAACCUGCCCUUCACCACGGGAUAACCCGGCGAAAGUCGGACUAAUACCGUAUGUUGUCCAUUGACGGCAUCCGAUUUGGACGAAAGGCUUAGCGGUGAGGGAUGGGGAUGCGUCCGAUUAGCUUGACGGCGGGGUAACGGCCCACCGUGGCAACGAUCGGUAGGGGUUCUGAGAGGAAGGUCCCCCACACUGGAACUGAGACACGGUCCAGACUCCUACGGGAGGCAGCAGUGAGGAAUAUUGGUCAAUGGGCGGAAGCCUGAACCAGCCAAGUAGCGUGCAGGAUGACGGCCCUAUGGGUUGUAAACUGCUUUUAUGCGGGGAUAAAAGAAUUCACGUGUGGAUUU
rnacentral:rRNA from 1 species